rnacentral:lncRNA from 1 species
GGGAAUGGCUUUCUCCAUGAGUCCUGUCAAUCCUCCAGCUCAGAGAGAACCAGGAUGCCCUGACUGUUGAAGUGACAACUUCUCAUUGCUAUAAAAGCAGGUGCAUUAUGGCCAGGGCCACAAUUAAGAAAAACAGUCUGGCAGAGGUUAAACUGAAAUGGAGUUUGAGUCAGGUGAGGCUUACUAUUUUCUUUUUGAUGUUAACUGUAAAUAUACUAAUCUCUAAUUUA